UUUUUGCUAAAGUGACGUUUCUGAGCGCGCAUGCCGUUUCCGAUCGACCGCGAACGCACCGCAGCCCCGGAUGACGUCACUUUUCACUCGCUCUGGAUAGGAGACGCAACUUACGAGCACUUUUCCGUACAAGACAAACGCCUCGGGAUAAAUCAAGGUUGCUCUUUUCUCUGUGCCAGCUGCUAGGCAGUGGAGUUGAAUGCCGUGGCAUUUGGGGGGAGGGAGAGGGGGGGGGGGGCAAGGAGAGUGCGGCGUUUUGAAGAAGACCCCAUCCCGCUAGGAAUGAUGUCAAAGUUGAGAUCGAGAUGAGUUGCUGGUGAGACGCAACUGUUGGCACCGUUGGAGCUCCUCCACAUGCACAGCGAGCAGGCGGCGCGAGCGUGCGAGAUUGAAUCGUCGACGGAUUGAAUGUCUGCUGCUUGGAUGCCACGUGGGACGUCAGCGAAGGACAUUGCGAUUUUCGUGGCCACCUGUUGUCCUGGAGGCUGG